rnacentral:rRNA from 1 species
GACGAACGCUGGCGGCGUGCCUAACACAUGCAAGUCAAGGAGAAUUCCCGACUUGUCGGGAUAGUAAACUGGCGAACGGGUGAGUAACACGUAGGUAAUCUACCCUCGGGAUCGGGAUAACCUCGCGAAAGUGGGGAUAAUACCGAAUAAAGUCUCGGUAUAAUUUGUCGAGAUGAAAGAUGGGGAUCUUCGGACCUAUUACCUGAGGAUGAGCCUGCGCCUGAUUAGCUAGUUGGUAGGGUAAAUGCCUACCAAGGCAACGAUCAGUAGCUGGUCUGAGAGGAUGAUCAGCCACAUUGGGACUGAGAUACGGCCCAGACUCCUACGGGAGGCAGCAGUGAGGAAUUUUGCGCAAUGGGCGAAAGCCUGACGCAGCAACGCCGCGUGACUGAUUAAGCUCUGAGGAGUGUAAAAGUCUGUCGUAGAGGAAGAAACUAUCCGAUAAGAAUAUUGUCGGAUACGUGACGGUACUCUAUGAGAAAGCUCCGGCUAA